GUGGGGAAUAUUGCACAAUGGGCGCAAGCCUGAUGCAGCAACGCCGCGUGGGGGAUGACGGCCUUCGGGUUGUAAACCUCUUUUAGUAGGGAAGAAGCGAAAGUGACGGUACCUGCAGAAAAAGCACCGGCUAACUACGUGCCAGCAGCCGCGGUAAUACGUAGGGUGCAAGCGUUGUCCGGAAUUAUUGGGCGUAAAGAGCUCGUAGGCGGUUUGUCGCGUCUGCUGUGAAAUCCCGAGGCUCAACCUCGGGCCUGCAGUGGGUACGGGCAGACUAGAGUGCGGUAGGGGAGAUUGGAAUUCCUGGUGUAGCGGUGGAAUGCGCAGAUAUCAGGAGGAACACCGAUGGCGAAGGCAGAUCUCUGGGCCGCUACUGACGCUGAGGAGCGAAAGCAUGGGGAGCGAACAGGAUUAGAAACCCGAGUAGUCC
rnacentral:rRNA from 1 species